ACCGCGAUGGCUCAGUUGGUAGAGCAUCUGCCGGGUAUGCAGGGGGGUUGCCGGUUCGACUCCGGCUCGCGGCA
rnacentral:tRNA from 1 species